rnacentral:rRNA from 11 species
GAACCAGUACCGUGAGGGAAAGGUGAAAAGCACCCCGACGAGGGGAGUGAAAUAGCACCUGAAACCGGAUGCUUACAAACAGUAGGAGCCCAAGGUUUGUCCUGGGUGACUGCGUACCUUUUGUAUAAUGGGUCAGCGACUUAAAGUUACGAGCAAGCUUAAGCCGAUAGGUGAAGGCGCAGCGAAAGCGAGUCUGAAUAGGGCGUUCAGUUCGUGGCUUUAGACCCGAAACCGAGUGAUCUAGCCAUGUGCAGGAUGAAGGUGGGGUAACACCCACUGGAGGUCCGAA